rnacentral:rRNA from 1 species
UCGAACGAGAAAGCGCAAGGUGAGUAAAGUGGCGUACGGGUGAGUAACACGUGGAUCAUCUACCCUCUAGUGGGGAAUACCGUUGGGAAACCGACGACAAUACCGCAUAAGCUCGAGAGAGGAAAGCAGCAAUGCGCUGGAGGAGGAGUCCGCUGGUCGAUUAGUUAGUUGGCAGGGUAAAAGCCUACCAAGACUGUGAUCGAUAGCCUGGCCUGAGAGGGCACACGGCCACACUGGCACUGAAACACGGGCCAGACUCCUACGGGAGGCAGCAGUGGGGAAUCUUGCACAAUGGAGGAAACUCUGAUGCAGCGACGCCGCGUGAGCGAUGACGCCCUUCGGGGUGUAAAGGCUCUUUCGGCAGGGAAAGAUAAUGACGGUACCUGCAGAAGCAGCUGCGGUUAACUACGUGCCAGCAGCCGCGGUAAUACUGUAGGCAGCAAGCGUUGUCGGAGUUACUGGGCGUAAAGGGUGCGUAGGCGGGCUUUUUAAGUUUGGUGUGAAAUCUCCCGGCUCAACUGGGAGGGUUGCGCCGAAUACUUGAAGAGGCUAGAGUGUGGGAGAGGAAAGUGGAAUUCCUUGGUGUAGCGGUGAAAUGCGUAGAUUCAGGAGGAACAACGGUGGUUGUUAAACCGGGCUUUCUGGACCAUAACUGACGGCUUGAGGCACAAAAGCGUGGGGUUAGCAAACAGGGAUUGAGAUACCCUGGUAAGUCCACGCCCUUAAACGAUGGC